rfam:Ruminococcus sp. CAG:382 genomic scaffold, scf228
CAGAGUGCUCCGUGCGAUCGCGCGGUAUCAUACCGAAAGGUCAUACCGUGAGGAAAGUCCGGGCUUCACAGAGCAGGAUAACGGAUAACAUCCGCCGAGGGCGACCUCCGGGCAAGUGCAACAGAAAGAAACCGCCUGAACUGUUCAGGUAAGGAUGGAAAGGCGAGGUAAGAGCUCACCGACGGGCAGGAGACUGUUCCGCCAUGUAAACCCUAUCCGAAGCAACACCGCAUAAGGAGCAUCACGUCUGCUCGACAGCUCCAUGGGUGGCACAGAGCCGUGCGGCAACGCACGGACAAGAUAGAUGAUCGCACAAGACAGAACCCGGCUUACAGGACACUCUGCAUU